AGUGAACGCUGGCGGUAGGCCUAACACAUGCAAGUCGAACGGCAGCACAGUAAGAGCUUGCUCUUACGGGUGGCGAGUGGCGGACGGGUGAGGAAUACAUCGGAAUCUACUUUUUCGUGGGUGAUAACGUAGGGAAACUUACGCUAAUACCUCAUACGACCUACGGGUUAAAGCAGUGGAUCUUCGCACCUUUCGCGAUUGUAUUAGCCGAUGUCGGAUUAGCUAGUUGGCGGGGUAAAGGCCCACCAAGGCGACGAUCCGUAGCUGGUCUGAGAGGAUGAUCAGCCACACUGGAACUGAGACACGGUCCAGACUCCUACGGGAGGCAGCAGUGGGGAAUAUUGGACAAUGGGCGAAAGCCUGAUCGAGCCAUACCGCGUGAGUGAAGAAGGCCUUCGGGUUGUAAAGCCCUGUUGUUGGGGAAGAAAAGAAGCAGAUUAAUACCCCGAUGUUCUGACGGUACCCAAAGAAUAAGCACCGGCUAACUUCGUG
rnacentral:rRNA from 1 species